rnacentral:rRNA from 1 species
GCAAUGGGCGAAAGCCUGACGGAGCAAUACCGCGUGAGGGAGGAAGGCUCUUGGGUUGUAAACCUCUUUUCUCAGGGAAGAAAAAAAUGACGGUACCUGAGGAAUAAGCAUCGGCUAACUCCGUGCCAGCAGCCGCGGUAAUACGGAGGAUGCAAGCGUUAUCCGGAAUGAUUGGGCGUAAAGCGUCCGCAGGUGGCGAUGAAAGUCUGCUGUUAAAGAGUGAGGCUCAACCUCAUAAAAGCAGUGGAAACUACAUAGCUAGAGUACGUUCGGGGCAGAGGGAAUUCCUGGUGUAGCGGUGAAAUGCGUAGAGAUCAGGAAGAACACCGGUGGCGAAAGCGCUCUGCUAGGCCU